rnacentral:lncRNA from 1 species
CAACCAUACUCAACAGUCACAAUUCAAACAGAACUUCGACUGUAACAGUGCUUAUUGGUUUUAAAGUGCAUUCAACGAGACUCGUCACCAACUAUAUAAAGACUUCUAAAAAAAAUAGAAGAUGUGGUAUGAUUGCCAAUGAAACAACUCUCCACUAGAGACCAAAUGACAGAGAAUUUUCAGAAGUUUUAAAGGCACCGUUUUAAAAAAUUGUAAAACAAUUCAAAAGAGAAAAACUAACGACCUAUAAGUACCAAACAAUGAACGAAAAACAAAUAUGUUACACAGCUUAGGACAGGAACAUACAGAAAGUGGCGUCAACCCUCCCAAUAAUCCAGGGACGUGUUUUAACAGUACAACAUAAGAAUUAACUAUAAAAAUCAGUUGAAAAGGGCACAUCUCAUCAGUGGAUACAAACAGAAAUGCAUAUAAAAAGAUACAGAGUGAACGUGGUCGACUAAUUAUAAAUCCCCACAACAAAGACACGAAGUACAGAUCUCAGAUUAUUCAAAAAAUUACUGACAGCUAGUUCAGAGCCAAUAAUAACUACAUAUAUUUAAAAAAAAUUAUGCAUUUAAGACUAAAAUAUGUUAAUAUUAUUAUUUGUUCGUUUUAUUUUUGAAUAUUUUAUAAUUUACACUGAUUAGUAACCUGUAAUAUAUGCUACUCAUCAUGAUUGGAUAAUCACUAUCAAAACAAUUCCCAAUUGUCCCACAUUUGAACUUCCCAAUUGUCCCACAAACAUGUUCCCGAUUGUCCCAAGAAAUUUCAUUACUUUUUUACCUGUAAUUUCAAAAAGUGGGACAAUCGGGAAGACACC